UACGUAGGCAGCAAGCGUUGUUCGGAAUUACUGGGCGUAAGGAGUGUGUAGGCGGUGCUCUAAGUUCGGUGUGAAAUCUCCCGGCUCAACUGGGAGGGUGCGCCGGAAACUGGGGUGCUGGAGCACUGUAGAGGCGGGUGGAAUUCCGGGUGUAGCGGUGGAAUGCGUAGAGAUCCGGAAGAACACCAGUGGCGAAGGCGACUCACUGGCCCGUUACUGACGCUGAUGCGCGAAAGCGUGGGGAGCAAACAGG
rnacentral:rRNA from 1 species